rnacentral:rRNA from 1 species
GAUGAACGCUGGCGGCGUGCCUAAUACAUGCAAGUCGAGCGAACAGACGAGGAGCUUGCUCCUCUGACGUUAGCGGCGGACGGGUGAGUAACACGUGGAUAACCUACCUAUAAGACUGGGAUAACUUCGGGAAACCGGAGCUAAUACCGGAUAAUAUAUUGAACCGCAUGGUUCAAUAGUGAAAGACGGUUUUGCUGUCACUUAUAGAUGGAUCCGCGCCGCAUUAGCUAGUUGGUAAGGUAACGGCUUACCAAGGCGACGAUGCGUAGCCGACCUGAGAGGGGGAUCGGCCACAAUGGAACUGAGACACGGUCCAGACUCCUACGGGAGGCAGCAGUAGGGAAUCUUCCGCAAUGGGCGAAAGCCUGACGGAGCAACGCCGCGUGAGUGAUGAAGGUCUUCGGAUCGUAAAACUCUGUUAUGAGGGAAGAACAAAUGUGUAAGUAACUAUGCACGUCGUGACGGUACCUAAUCAGAAAGCCACGGCUAACUACGUG